rnacentral:rRNA from 1 species
CCUACGGGGGGCUGCAGUGGGGAAUAUGGGACAAUGGGGGCAACCCUGAUCCAGCCAUGCCGCGUGUGUGAAGAAGGCCCUCGGGUUGUAAAGCACUUUCAGUGAGGAAGAACGCCUGGUGGUUAAUACCCAUCAGGAAAGACAUCACUCACAGAAGAAGCACCGGCUAACUCCGUGCCAGCAGCCGCGGUAAUACGGAGGGUGCGAGCGUUAAUCGGAAUUACUGGGCGUAAAGCGCGCGUAGGUGGCUUGAUAAGCCGGUUGUGAAAGCCCCGGGCUCAACCUGGGAACGGCAUCCGGAACUGUCAAGCUAGAGUGCAGGAGAGGAAGGUAGAAUUCCCGGUGUAGCGGUGAAAUGCGUAGAGAUCGGGAGGAAUACCAGUGGCGAAGGCGGCCUUCUGGACUGACACUGACACUGAGGUGCGAAAGCGUGGGUAGCAAACAGGAUUAGAUACCCCAGUAGUC